UACAGAGGCGGCAAGCGUUGUUCGGAAUUACUGGGCGUAAAGGGCGCGUAGGCGGCUUGGUCAGUCCCGUGUGAAAUCCCUCGGCUCAACUGAGGAACUGCACGGGAAACUGCCUGGCUUGAGUUCGGGAGAGGGAAGCGGAAUUCCGGGUGUAGCGGUGAAAUGCGUAGAUAUCCGGAGGAACACCGGUGGCGAAGGCGGCUUCCUGGACCGACACUGACGCUGAGGCGCGAAAGCGUGGGGAGCGAACAGG
rnacentral:rRNA from 1 species